UAUGGAUCAAACAUCAAACACUUACAGAGAUCUGACAGAUGUCCAGGAGAGAAACUGAUUGUAGAAGAAUUCCAUGCCAGCAGAAGUCCAUAGACUGGAUGUCACAAUCCUAUCCAUAAAUAAUAAUAAUAAAUUGAGCUAAUUGGAAUCUUUUCUACAAAAAGAACAUGAAAAUUUUCAUUUAUGUGGAGGCACCAUGUUAACAAAAAAAG
rnacentral:lncRNA from 1 species